CUUUCGGGCAGCGCCCCGCACGGGGCGCUGAGGAACGAGGGGACCGCAGCGAGGGUCGUUUCUCCGCGGAGCCGCGUCGGGAGCAGCUCCCCGUGUGCUGUCGGCCGCCCUCGCAGCGCUGUGCCUGUCCCGGCCACGAAACGGAGCGCGCCUGGACGUGGUGUGCCUUUGGACUGCUCUUUGGUUCGAGAGAAAAUCCUACGGUAAAAGAUCACCGUACGGCAUGGUGUUUCUCUUUGAUGUCUGUGCAAGCCUCGGCUCCGGGCAGGUUACAAGUCUCCACGGCUUAUUCUUCCAUGGCGGGAGAGGGAGAGGCUGAAGAACAAGAAGAUUGAAUACAAGAGACUGGCACAACUACCUGGAAGUCUGUGAGAACAGAAGACUUCGGAAUACUUUUCAAUGACUGAAAUAUAACACGGAUUUUUUUUCUUAUUUGCAAAACCAGAGAGAAUACAAUACAUAUCCAGGUCACAUCAUUGUGUGGUUAGCUCUGAAGUGGUGAAAUCUUGCCCAUUUGUUUAUUUCCUGGACAUCGAGAACAGUUGUUGAAUGACAUUACAUUAUUAAAUCAUUUACUAACUUACCAAAAAUCCAAAUCUUCAUGUUAUUUUCAAAGCACACAAUGGCCAUAACAUAGGAUUACUUCAGGUACUUACAGUUACUUCAAUUACUUACUGUUUGUAUGCUGUGGAAACACCAUGGAUGCAAGACUAUGAUGGGAACUCAGACAGUAACAGCAGAUUCAUUGUUACGUAUAUUUAUAGCUGCCUAGGGCAUAAAGCCCAUACUUAAAAGUCUUCACAGCGAUUCACAGGCACAGAACAUUUUUGAUGUUUCCCCGGCACCCAGGCUUUUGGGCAGAUCUGUGCUAUGUUUACCAAGAUUUGAUUAUAAGGAAUAAGUAAAAAACACUCUUAAACUUUGAAGGAGUCAGUAGAAUGAAAAACCAGUGAAUCACUGAAUCACAGAAUAAUUAAGGUGGGCAAAGGCCUCUGAGAUCAUCUAGUCCAGCUGUCCACCCACCACCAAUAAAUCAGUGCUGACAAAAUGGAUACUCAGCUCUGCUCUGUAAAAGAAACAAAGUCUGGUGAGGAGCAACCUGCAUCAGAUUCUCUGCAAAAUUUUGAAUUUUCAAUCUGAAGAUGUCUAUUUACUUACAAAUUCCCUUUUAACUGUAACUUGAUUGUGACUGUAGUAACUUGCAGAUUUCAAGAUCUAGGGCAACUAUUUGACAGAACAUGACAGAAAAUUACAGAAGCUCUAUUAACAGUGCGAUCACUCCUCAUCUUGCCUUUGUCAGGCUUACUUUUGAUGCAAACACAUGACACUGUAUGUGUAUCAGUUGCAUACUGAUAAGUUUCUUGCUUCAUCCACAUAACAAUGACAGGAAUGCUGUGAUUCAAAUUUUGUCCUGAACUCCCAGUUUUACAACAUACAGUAUAACUGACACCAGCAUUAACAACAGAACGUAAGGCUGAAGACUUUCCAGUAGUUAAUAUCUUUAGAUACCAAGUCCACUCCCCUGGAAUCUUCAGAGAUCCUUUCUAUCUUCCACUGGCUAAAAUGCACAGGAUUCUAAGUUACAACUGAAUGAACAGAUCUUGCACUUCAGAUUAAUUUCCCAAAGAAAAUGGGGAAAUGACUAUAAAUUCAACCCACAUGUGGUUAUCAUCUAUCUCAUACCUUUGAUUUGUAGAGUUAAGAUGAUUUGUAGACACCACCCAAUACAAAAGCAGAUUUCUGACUGAGAGAAAAGAUGGCUCAGAAAACUAAAACGGGUGAAUUAAAAAAAAAAAAAGUGAUUAAGGAUUAAUCAAAAACAAUUUCAAAUGUGCGUGAAUAGCAGUGAAGAUGUAUUGUAACUCUUACUCCAUUAAUGGUGAGUUACCAAAACAGCACAGACAGCAUUUUAUGUAGAUGUACCACAGAUGUGAGUUUGCUUGAGUUUUGUCUGUGACCGUAAGAGGCAUUACAAGCACUGCGAAUAUUUUGUGUUAUAGUCAUAACCAGAAUCUGCUGUUACCAUUUGGAUGAUUACGGCCCUGCACAGUUUGCCUUUUAUGCUCAAUUCACAGAAUGUCAUGAUGAAACAACUUGUACAGACAGUGAUCAGAGACUUACUGAAAUAAUUCCCGUUCCAGCACACUUGAUUGCAGCACUCAGGGUGCUUUGGUUACUUUUGAUGUUGAUAACAUCAGCUGUACGUUGUAUUACACCUCUGUGAACACACAGCAUUCUGGCAAUGUUCCAAGGGCCCUAAUCUGUUUAAUUUCUUUAGAUUCCCAUCUUUAAAGUUUAAUCCUGCUGUCUGCAAGCAGACUAGAAACAUUAACUGCCCAAGUAAGUGAAAUGCUGCGACACCGAUUUACAGCAGGCAUUUUCUGAAGUGGUUGGUGUCCCUUUCAACAAAUGACCUGCUAUGCCAGGUUGGGGAUGUAGACUAUGUGGAGUUGCUGGGGUGAGAAGGCGGGUACAUCUAAUGCCCUCCACUGAAUGCUAACAAGGGAUCUCCAGUAGGAACUGCCAGCAGGUCUUUC
rnacentral:lncRNA from 7 species